rnacentral:rRNA from 1 species
CCUACGGGAGGCAGCAGUGGGGAAUAUUGGACAAUGGGGGGAACCCUGAUCCAGCCAUGCCGCGUGUGUGAAGAAGGCCCUCGGGUUGUAAAGCACUUUCAGUGAGGAAGAACGCCUGGUGGUUAAUACCCAUCAGGAAAGACAUCACUCACAGAAGAAGCACCGGCUAACUCCGUGCCAGCAGCCGCGGUAAUACGGAGGGUGCGAGCGUUAAUCGGAAUUACUGGGCGUAAAGCACGCGUAGGUGGCUUGAUAAGCCGGUUGUGAAAGCCCCGGGCUCAACCUGGGAACGGCAUCCGGAACUGUCAAGCUAGAGUGCAGGAGAGGAAGGUAGAAUUCCCGGUGUAGCGGUGAAAUGCGUAGAGAUCGGGAGGAAUACCAGUGGCGAAGGCGGCCUUCUGGACUGACACUGACACUGAGGUGCGAAAGCGUGGGUAGCAAACAGGAUUAGAUACCCGGGUAGUC